ACGAACGCUGGCGGCGUGCUUAACACAUGCAAGUCGAGCGGUAAGGCCUUUCGGGGUACACGAGCGGCGAACGGGUGAGUAACACGUGGGUGAUCUGCCCUGCACUUCGGGAUAAGCCUGGGAAACUGGGUCUAAUACCGGAUAUGACCUCCUAUCGCAUGGUGGGUGGUGGAAAGAUUUAUCGGUGCAGGAUGGGCCCGCGGCCUAUCAGCUUGUUGGUGGGGUAAUGGCCUACCAAGGCGACGACGGGUAGCCGACCUGAGAGGGUGACCGGCCACACUGGGACUGAGACACGGCCCAGACUCCUACGGGAGGCAGCAGUGGGGAAUAUUGCACAAUGGGCGAAAGCCUGAUGCAGCGACGCCGCGUGAGGGAUGACGGCCUUCGGGUUGUAAACCUCUUUCAGCAGGGACGAAGCGCAAGUGACGGUGCCUGCAGAAGAAGCACCGGCUAACUACGU
rnacentral:rRNA from 1 species